AGAGUUUGAUCAUGGCUCAGGACGAACGCUGACGGUGUGCUUUAGACAUGCAAGUCGAACGAGAAAGCCCUUCGGGGUGAGUACAGUGGCGAACGGGUGAGUAACACGUGGGCAAUCUGCCCCUCGCAGGGGGAUAACCGGGGGAAACCCCGGCUAAUACCCCGUACGCUUGCGGAGUCGCAUGGCUCCGUAAGGAAAGGUAGCUUCGGCCAUCCGGCGAGGGAUGAGCCCGCGGUACAUUAGCUAGUUGGUGGGGUAACGGCCUACCAAGGCGACGAUGUAUAGCUGGUCUGAGAGGAUGAUCAGCCACAUUGGGACUGAGACACGGUCCAGACUCCUACGGGAGGCAGCAGUGAGGAAUCUUCCACAAUGGGGGAAACCCUGAUGGAGCAACUCCGCGUGCAGGAUGAAGGCCCUCGGGUCGUAAACUGCUUUUAUGAGUGAAGAAUAUGACGGUAACUCAUGAAUAAGGGUCGGCUAACUACGUGCCAGCAGCCGCGGUCAUACGUAGGACCCAAGCGUUAUCCGGAGUGACUGGGCGUAAAGAGUUGCGUAGGUGGCUUGUAAAGUGAAUAGUGAAACCUGGUGGCUCAACCAUACAGACUAUUAUUCAAACUCACAAGCUCGAGAAUGGUAGAGGUAACUGGAAUUUCUAGUGUAGGAGUGAAAUCCGUAGAUAUUAGAAGGAACACCAAUGGCGUAGGCAGGUUACUGGACCAUUUCUGACACUGAGGCACGAGAGCGUGGGGAGCGAACCGGAUUAGAUACCCCGGUAGUCC
rnacentral:rRNA from 1 species